rnacentral:misc_RNA from 1 species
AGAAUAAAAAAUCGAGGCGUCGCUCUUUUUUUGAGGGUGAUCGCGUCGGAAUUGAGCCGUCUUUCAAAUGUUAAUUCAUGUCAAAGUGGCUUGAAAUUCAUCCAUCCGGUACGAUUAAGCGUAUUUAAGAUCAAUUUUGUUCGAGAACGCGCGAUGACGUACCAUCUAAUGUAGUACGUUUGACCUGGGUCAUCAGGUUCAUUCGUAUACGAUACUCAAAAC